rnacentral:rRNA from 1 species
UUUAGAUCCUGGCUCAGAGUGAACGCUGGCGGUAGGGCCUAACACAUGCAGUCGAACGGCAGCACAGGAGAGCUUGCUCUCUGGGUGGCGAGUGGCGGACGGGUGAGGGAAUACAUCGGAAUCUACUCUGUCGUGGGGGAUAACGUAGGGAAACUUACGCUAAUACCGCAUACGACCUACGGGUGAAAGUGGGGGGACCGCAAGGCCUCACGCGAUAGAAUGAGCCGAUGUCGGAUUAGCUAGUUGGCGGGGUAAAGGCCCACCAAGGCGACGAUCCGUAGCUGGUCUGAGAGGAUGAUCAGCCACACUGGAACUGAGACACGGUCCAGACUCCUACGGGAGGCAGCAGUGGGGAAUAUUGGACAAUGGGGCGCAAGCCUGAUCCAGCUAUACCGCGUGAGUGAAGAAGGCCCUCGGGGUUGUAAAGCUCUUUUGUUGGGAAAGAAAUCCUGUUGGCUAAUACCCGGCAGGGAUGACGGUACCCAAAGAAUAAGCACCGGCUAACUUCGUG